UCAAAAGGGCGUUUAGUGGAUGCCUAGGCAUGUAGAGGCGAUGAAGGACGUGGCACGCUGCGUUAAGUCUCGGGGAGUUGCGAGCAGACUUUGAUCCGAGAAUUUCCGAAUGGGGAAACCCACCUUUACGGACCCUGGCGGUCGCUUGGCCGGUUUACCGGUCGAUCGAUCACCAGAGUUCGUGUGAGGUAUCUGAUCCUGAAUACAUAGGGAUUAGAAGCAAACCCGGGGAACUGAAACAU
rnacentral:rRNA from 1 species